AUUGAACGCUGGCGGCAGGCCUAACACAUGCAAGUCGAACGGUAACAGGAAGAGGCUUGCCUCUUUGCUGUCGAGUGGCGGGCGGGUGUGUAAUGUCUGGGAAACUGCCUGAUGGAGGGGGAUAACUACUGGAAACGGUAGCUAAUACCGCAUAAAGUCGCAAGACCAAAGAGGGGGACCUUCGGGCCUCUUGCCAUCGGAUGUGCCCAGAUGGGAUUAGCUAGUAGGUGGGGUAACGGCUCACCUAGGCGACGAUCCCUAGCUGGUCUGAGAGGAUGACCAGCCACACUGGAACUGAGACACGGUCCAGACUCCUACGGGAGGCAGCAGUGGGGAAUAUUGCACAAUGGGCGCAAGCCUGAUGCAGCCAUGCCGCGUGUAUGAAGAAGGCCUUCGGGUUGUAAAGUACUUUCAGCGGGGAGGAAGGGAGUAAAGUUAAUACCUUGGCGCAUUGACGUUACCCGCAGAAGAAGCACCGGCUAACUCCGUG
rnacentral:rRNA from 1 species